UGAAAUCUGAGGACGGAACGGGCAGCCGUCACCCUUGUUGGAGAUGUGGGAAUGUCACCCCACCUACUUCA
ncrna:unclassified sequences skipping-rope RNA